GACGAACGCUGGCGGCGUGCUUAACACAUGCAAGUCGAACGGAAAGGCCCUGCUUUUGUGGGGUGCUCGAGUGGCGAACGGGUGAGUAACACGUGAGUAACCUGCCCUUGACUUUGGGAUAACUUUAGGAAACUGGGGCUAAUACCGGAUAGGAGCUCCUGCUGCAUGGUGGGGGUUGGAAAGUUUCGGCGGUUGGGGAUGGACUCGCGGCUUAUCAGCUUGUUGGUGGGGUAGUGGCUUACCAAGGCUUUGACGGGUAGCCGGCCUGAGAGGGUGACCGGCCUCAUUGGGACUGAGAUACGGCCCAGACUCCUACGGGAGGCAGCAGUGGGGAAUAUUGCACAAUGGGCGGAAGCCUGAUGCAGCAACGCCGCGUGCGGGAUGACGGCCUUCGGGUUGUAAACCGCUUUCGCCUGUGACGAAGCGUGAGUGACGGUAAUGGGUAAAGAAGCACCGGCUAACUACGUG
rnacentral:rRNA from 1 species